CCCCGAGGCAGGGUGGGGUGGAACAGGAUUAACAGACUCGCAUUGGGAGAUCAGUCCAAUCGGCAUACAGGCACCAUGUCAGCAAGCGUGAGUAUCUCCAUGGAAUGAACUGGGAGAUCUGUUUUGUGUAGAAAAUAGGAGAAUAUGGAGGAAGAUUCCCCCUUCUGCACAUUUGAAGGGCAUGCCAUGGGCUCUGAAUCCACAAGGGCAGAACCAAGGUCAUAAAUCUCGAAGAGAAGCUGAGAGGCACGCAGAUAAAGAAACUGCUUCAAACUGGAGAGUAAAAGAAUAAGGCAGUCCAGAAGAAGGAGCCUGCAUUUUUUGGAGAGGGCAACAAUGAAGGGGCAAAUGCUUAAUAACUCAAGUGGAAGUACUCUCAUAGUGGAAUUACAGGAUCUUAGUUCCUUGACCAGGGAUUGAAUUCAGGCAUGUGGCAAUGAAGGUGCUGGACUGCCAGAAAAGUUCCAAAAUGCAGGGGACAUGUGCUUUUAUGACAAUGCUGUCAGAAUGCUAAGCUAGGAAGAUGCUGCAGGUGGUGAAGAUCAGUAUCCAAACCGUUGGUGUACCAGUACACCACCACCAAGGAGAAAUGGUUUCCUCGACUCCAAGAACUUUGCCAUGUAACCAUGUGAGAAGACUUGAGAACUUGGUUGUGGCAGCAGAAAUCCUUCUAACAGCUUGAUGAAGACUAGUGUGGUAACACCUGAAGCGCUGAAUCCUUACAGGAGCGCCACCAGUUUUGGUAUUCAAUGUGCCUCAAAACAAAAAAGAUGGAAAACUACUACUCCUGCCAACUGUUACUCUAGAUAUUUCUGAAGUGGUUUAACAAGUUUUCGUCAUUUAUUUCCUGCCACUAAUAUACCCUAUGUUGAUAAUUUCACUGUCCCCUCCCCUCUACUAUCAUUGUGAAUGAGAAGCACUCCUAUCAGCCCAGGACUGGAGAUGAAAUGCAGUUCUACCAGAGAUUUGCUGUUUGUAUGCAGCAGCUAAAGAGCCUCUGAAACUGGACGUAGUUUUCAGCAUCACUCAGUUUGUGACAGGAUUAAGUUAGGAAAGAACUUGGAGCUUUAAGGGAAAUUGCUUCCAGAACGGGGGGGAAAAAAGACAUUUGAGGCUAUGAGGCUAUGAGGCUAUGAGGCAGAAACCUUUGGACAGAUGCCCAGAAAAAUAGGAAGCCUAUUCCCAUCUCUCCUUCUCAAUAUCUAGCAUCUCUAUUUAAAAAGUCACAGCUUCCUGGUCUAGGAUCAGAAUGUGCUCUUUUUGUUGGGAAUUUUUUGAAGGCAAUUAUGGCUACAAUUAAGUGAGAUAUUGUUCUUCACUUUAAUAAGAUGCAGUGUAAGUGGCACUCUAGAUAAUAUAUGUGAAGGAAAAGUCAAUUAUAUGCUGAAACAUGUUUUUUUUAGGAUGAUUUUUUAUCUCAGGAAACAAACAUGGAAAAUCUCCAUUUGCAUUCCAGUAGUCAAGAUAACCAUAUAAUUUAUCCUUAAAUCCAGACCCUUUUGAGACUACAAGGAGAGUGCUAUUAAUAGUUACACCUGGGCAACAUAAACCAGAGUUGUCUCAGGCAAACUGGCAUGUAUGAUCACUUAUAAUGCCUCCUUUGUGUUUAAUAAACAUACCAACACAGUGUACA